CCAAAGAGCACGAGCAAUGUCAAUGGAGGGUGGUGCUUUAGGAUCUACAGCUGUGACUGACUCUGCUAUGGCAAAAGCUGGUGCAGUUGACCCUGACUUAGCGUUAGCUCUUCAAAUGUCUGUCCAGGAUGCAAACAUGUCCAGUGACACUGAUAUGAGUAAGGUGUUUGAAGACAUAACGUUUGUGUCAUCUAUCCUUAAUUCACUUCCUGGUGUUGAUCCGAAUGAUCCAUCUGUUAAAG